rnacentral:lncRNA from 1 species
AGAUUUUGGAUGUUUCCUAUCUGUAACCCAUUGGUUUAAGUAAAUGAACUGUCGAUAAAAUGUACGGUUUUGGGGGUUUAGUUGAUAGUGUAUAAACGCAAUGCUUCAUCAAGUAUAGUCAUAUUAAUAUUCAUAGGAUAUCAUUUUUAUAUGUUUAAACAUAUGUUUAUCUCUGAAUGCGGAUAUAUAUGGUUAUAGCUGUUAUCUCUAAGGAAUUUGUGUCUCGCAAUAAAAUCAAGUAACCAUUGAGUUAUAUAUACGAGGGUUUUAUUUAAACAAAAUAUUCUCAAGAUGUUUAUCACAUGAAUUUCCAGUUUGGAAUAAUACUGAAAAAUAUCAGAUCAUUAAAUUCUGCGUGUGAGAACAGUGAUAUUUAUAGAUAUAAUAUAAGAUGUUGGAUAUGCAAGAGUUUACUGAAACUAUCUUCAACACCUGUCAUGACUGCAUGUAAACACCAGUCAAAGUAAAAUAUGUCCGAAGAAGAAGAUUAUGACCCGAAUGCUGGUGUUCCGCUCUGGGUUAACAUUUUAGUUCCUAUUCUCUCUGGACUUCUUUUUGUCGCUGUCCUCGUAUUCUGUUCCAUACAAAGAAAGAAGUCCCGCUUGAAACAAUUGAAGACUGGGUUGAGAAGAUCCCCAUCCUUAACAGAUACCUUUCACCUGACUGGCAAAACAGCGAAGAUGAAACUACAGCAAAGACAAAAUCUACAGCAAGAAUAAAAACUACAGACAAGACAAGAGUCUCGCAUAAGUCGUAUUUAAACGAAAGGUCAUCAAUACGCAAAUCCUUAAGUCAUAGUGAUAUUAGAAGGUAUGACUCAAUCUCAAGCAUAAGAACUCGUGACAAUACAUUUUCAAGUAGAGAUCUUCAAAAUCCGACAGAGAGACCAUAUUUUUACGCCAGUCAAGGGACGCUACUGAGUUUUGAAAGCAAUGUGUGACAUGAAUUUUAGCUGACAAAAUAUGUAGAGAUUAUUCACUGUUCUAAGUGACAUUCCUCCAGAAAAUAAUAAUGGCGACCAAAACAAAAAUGACUAACAAAAUUAUUAACUUUUAUUCUCUACUCGUCAAACUCAUGCACUGGCAGAUGAUCUGAUGUCUACACUGGAUAUCACGAAACAUGAAAGCAGACCUUGCGUCUCCAACAUUUAGGGUUUUCUAAUGCUGUGUUUCUUUUUCUCAAGUUGUAUUCGGUGUGAAAAACGUUUAUUUGCUAACGGUUUCUCUAAUAACAAUAGGCUCUGAAAGUGAGCAGCAGGAAUCCUGACCAGACUUCGCGGAUGCGCAGGCUGGUCUGGAUCCAUGCUGGUCGCAAAGCCACUAUGUUGGUUUUCUCAUGGCGCGGCUCAAAUGAAAAAGCGUAGUCGGGCCUCGCCUGGAGAAAUGCCUUAAGAAAGACAUUAAAUAUAGUCUAGAAAUUGAUUUCAAAGUCCUUCACAUAACCAAAAAUGAUUUUACAAAAUUUACAAAAUUUAUAACAGUUUUGUUUUUUCUAGUUUGUGACCGCAAGGAGUGACAACUCUGACUUACAGACAGAGAUAUCUAUUACAAUGUAGUUUACUCCCUUUGCAAUAACACAAUUGUGGGGAGGGGGUGGGGGGAGGCAUAACUUUUUUGCGCAACAAAAACAAUUUGGACAAAUGUGUUCGAUUUACCCCUAAAAACUGCUUUACUUCUUUUUGUCAGCUUCUUUGUUGUAAAAAAGAAACGACUGUUUUAUAAGGCGAUAAUAAAAUGAAAUGCCAUUAA